CUCUCAGCCUCUCUGCAUUUUCUUCUUCAGUCACUGCGCAGACAGAGUACCGGAAAAAAUCUACCUAAACAGAUUUUGUUCGACGGAAGGAAUGGGCGAGGCAGACAGUUCAGAAGAAAAUCUACCUAAACGGGAUUCGAUCCACGGCAAUUCUUUUCAAUCCUAUUCGGCCUCUCUCUUACUUCUUUGCCAAAGAGCUGGAUUUUUGCCUGAAAAUCUGGCGUGCCUUCGUAUUCAACCCAUUUCUUCGUAUUCAGGUUCUCUCUGCAACUCCUCAUUCCCUAUUCGGUCAUUCUAUUAUCCUCUAAGAUCCCCUUGAAACGCAAAGAGAUGCUACCGAGGGCUGCUGUAAACGGUGUCGUUUGGAUGGAAGAAGGAGGCGGAGGUGGGGAAGAAGAAGAAGAUGCAGCGUCGUGGACCAGAACCAACAAUGAAGGCGAGCCCAGCAAGGAAGAGGACAUGGUUAUUGGUGUUCCUCUCUCUCUUUUAUCAAUUUUUCAGUAAAAAAGGGAGGAUUAUCGAAUCGUUCUCAAAGUCAAGAAGUCACAGUCCUCGGAGAAGAACGAUGGUGAAGGCCGUGGUUGUUCAUGGCAACAAUGAGUGUGUUGUGGGCCCAACUACAGUAACUGGAAAUAUUUCUGGCCUUAAGCUGGGCUCCAUGGGUUCCAUGUCCAUGCGCUUGGGGACAUAAAAAAUGGUUGCUUGUCAACUGACCGCAUUUCAAUCCUACUGGAAAAGAGCAUGGUGCUCCUGAGGAUGAGAGCUGUCAUGCCGGUGAUCUGGGAAAUGUCACUGUUGGUGAUGAUGGCACUGCCAGUUUCACAAUAAUUGACAAAUUCUAUUUUCUGGACCACAUUCUAUGAUUGGAAGGGUUGUUGCUGUCCACUGGGAUCCAGAUGGCCUUGGCAAGGAAAGAGGCGAAGAGUAUACAAGAAAGCAAGAGCACCAUUAGCCAUCUUUCUGGAGCUGUACAAGUGAAUUGGGCCGUGUAUGUUAAUCAUCGAUCAUUAGUUUUGGUCAUCUUGCUAGCCAGCCCUCUCUAUAUUUGAUGAUUACUUAUGUAAAUUUUGUCUGCUUUUGCUGGUUGAAAAUAGUUUCCUUGUGAAUAUGCAAUGGGUAAUGAUUUGCCUGGGAUGUGAAAGAUGGUGCCUUCAUACCUUAGUUGGUAAGUGUUGUUGGAAUGAAAGUGCGGUUUCUUAUAUAGUUGCCAACUGUUCUGUUGAUGUAGUAUUUACGAAUGAUUAUGCCUUACAUUUAACCUCUAGAUAUGUGGGCAAUGAGGGCUAUCAUUCAACCUCAUGGUAUUAGGCACGUGUAUUUUAUUUUCUAAAUAUUGUAUAGCCCUUUCAUUUGUUAAUUAUUGUAUAUGGAGAGACUUACUUGGCAA